rnacentral:rRNA from 1 species
AUUGAACGCUGGCGGCAUGCCUUACACAUGCAAGUCGAACGGCAGCACGGGAGCAAUCCUGGUGGCGAGUGGCGAACGGGUGAGUAAUAUAUCGGAACGUACCUUUCAGUGGGGGAUAACGUAGCGAAAGUUACGCUAAUACCGCAUAUUCUGUGAGCAGGAAAGCAGGGGAUCGCAAGACCUUGCGCUGAUUGAGCGGCCGAUAUCAGAUUAGCUAGUUGGUGAGGUAAAGGCUCACCAAGGCGACGAUCUGUAGCGGGUCUGAGAGGAUGAUCCGCCACACUGGAACUGAGACACGGUCCAGACUCCUACGGGAGGCAGCAGUGGGGAAUUUUGGACAAUGGGCGCAAGCCUGAUCCAGCCAUGCCGCGUGAGUGAAGAAGGCCUCGGUUGUAAGACGUCUUUCGUCCGGGUACGAAAGUACGACACCAGGUUAA